GCAGGCAUGGUUCAGCAGUAGAACACCUGCCUACCAAGUGGGAGCUUUGAGUUCAAACCCCAGUGCUGCU
rnacentral:tRNA from 1 species